UAUAUAUAUAUAUAUAUUAUAUCAUAAAUGGUACCAUUGUGUGACGAAUGCAACCGUGCAUGUGCGGGGGAAGUGUGCACUUGCCGGUGAUGAAGGUGGUGAGGGAGGUGGAUGGUGAUAUUGCCCGUGUGCACGAUGUGGGGGAUGCACACGAUGGCAUUAACUGUGCACGAUGUGGGGGGAUGCACGCGAUGACUUCGGCUAUGUGCACGAUGUGGGGGGAUGCACAUGAG
rnacentral:lncRNA from 1 species